GGGCGAUUAGCUCAGUUGGCUAGAGCGCACCCCUGAUAAGGGUGAGGUCACUGGUUCGAAUCCAGUAUUGCCCAC
rnacentral:tRNA from 1 species